rnacentral:lncRNA from 1 species
CAGUCCCCCUACUUCCGAGUUUGAAUUUCAAACGAAGGAAGUACAGAGAGAGAGAUGGGCACAGCCGAAACCGUCCCUUCGAAUCCUGCGCACUGUCGCCUCCAGAUAUUUUGGCAUUAAAUGUGCGCAUGCCGGAGUCUUUUCGAAUUGGAGCGGUAUGAGGGGACGCUUCGAAAUUCCCGUAGGUACACUGGUCUAGGUACGGCACAAUUAUAAUCCUGCCAACCGUCAGCCGCUUUUAGCCGCCUGCC